GGGGUCAGUGGAGGGGCUCGCGGCCUAUCAGCUAGUUGGCGAGGUAACGGCUCACCAAGGCGAUGACGGGUAGCUGGUCUGAGAGGAUGGCCAGCCACAUUGGGACUGAGAGACGGCCCAGACUCCUACGGGAGGCAGCAGUGGGGAAUCUUGCGCAAUGGCCGAAAGGCUGACGCAGCGACGCCGCGUGGAGGAUGACGCCCUUCGGGGUGUAAACUCCUGUUGCCCGGGACGAAUACCUGUUUCGACAGGGGUGACGGUACCGGGUGAGGAAGCACCGGCUAACUCUGUGCCAGCAGCCGCGGUAAUACAGAGGGUGCGAGCGUUGUCCGGAAUCACUGGGCGUAAAGGGCGCGUAGGCGGCUCGGUAAGCGUGUGGUGAAAGCCCGGGGCUCAACCCCGGGUCGGCCAUGCGAACUGUCGAGCUGGAGCACGGUAGAGGCACAUGGAAUUCCGGGUGUAGCGGUGGAAUGCGUAGAGAUCCGGAAGAACACCGGUGGCGAAGGCGGUGUGCUGGGCCGUAGCUGACGCUGAGGCGCGACAGCGUGGGGAGCAAACAGGAUUAGAU
rnacentral:rRNA from 1 species